rnacentral:lncRNA from 1 species
GUGGGAGGGUCGGGGUGGAUCCAGCAGGGUCGGGCAGACGUUUCCCCCACUUGUUUCUAUGAGAAACAAAUAGGUACACACAGGGCUCCAACAAGAGGGCAUGGCCAGGAACAGAAAUGACUCCAGUGGAAGUGGAGGUGGACAUUUUGUCCCUAUUGAUUCAUACAGGAAGCAAAUAGGAAGGCAGAACUCCAAGAAUGCAAGAGAAGACAUCAAGCGUGCAAAAUUGUCACACCAGAAAAAAGAAAAUGCUACUCAAACAUAUAAGGACGUCUUUUCGAUGGUGUUCGGCCUGUUCAUCAUGGUGGUAUCGGUUUAUGCGCUAUUCUACGCUCUUCUUUCCAAGUAAAAUUUGGUUGCGUGGUGUCUGCUUUGGCGGCUCGGGAAAUGCAUGGAGUUUGUGCAACGCCCAUGAAAAGCGGGUUUUGGUCAGUUUGUUGUUUCUUGGCGGUUCAGAGAUGGGGCGUUUUGAAGGUGUUGCUUGUUCGCGGACCGAUGGUGGGAUGAUUCCCUGUGCUACAAAAAUAGAAGGUAUGUGGAUGGAAUGUCCACCAGAUGCGUGUGUCUGAUGUCUAAUGCCCAAUAGGCAUCAAACUGGCUAAAUAUCGACUGUGAUGCUAACGAGCCUAUGCCAGCUUGUAAAUCCAUCAGCCUCCUGAGCGUGGGGCAAUAUUGUAACAGGCUAGUACAACAUUGGGUCCAUUGAUGUGUGUGCACUUGCGCACUGGUCUCAAUGUCAAGUCUUUUUGAAUGUUUGUGUACCUGUGCAUUGGCUUAUUUUCUACUGGUUAUGAUUAGUGAAAUUACAAGGGGCUGUUUGGUUUGCUUGCUUAAACAAGCGCUCCGAAGAAUGUAGUCAUUGACCCAAGCUUGUCGGAGCAAACAUUGUAUCUAACUACUCAUUGUGACAUUAAUGUUAUCGCAGAUCUUGUAAACUUUGUAGAGGGGCAUUCCGCUAUGGGGUAAUUAAUUUUGUGAUAUUUUGGUUUAUGCUGUGUUGCUGUUCUUAUGCGACUGACUUCCGCUCAUCUGUGCA